rnacentral:rRNA from 1 species
UACAGGGGGGUGCAAACGUUGCUCGGAAUUAUUGGGCGUAAAGCGCGCGUAGGCGGUAACUCAAGUCGGGAUGUGAAAGCCCCUUGGUUUUAACCGAGGAAGUGCAUCCGAAACUGAGUCGCUAGAGUACGAUAGAGGGUCGCGGAAUUCCCCGGUGUAGAGGUGAAAUUCGUAGAUAUCGGGAGGAACACCGGUGGCGAAGGCGGCGACCUGGGGUCGAUACUGACGCUGAGGCGCGAAAGCGUGGGGAGCAAACAGG